rnacentral:rRNA from 1 species
GGAUGAACGCUGGCGGCGUGCCUACUCCAUGCAAGUCGAGCGAACGGCCGAGAAGCUUGCUUCUCUGAUGUUAGCGGCGGACGGGUGAGUAACACGUGGAUAACCUACCUAUAAGACUGGGAUAACUUCGGGAAACCGGAGCUAAUACCGGAUAAUAUUUUGAACCGCAUGGUUCAAAAGUGAAAGACGGUCUUGCUGUCACUUAUAGCUGGAUCCGCGCUGCAUUAGCUAGUUGGUAAGGUAACGGCUUACCAAGGCAACGAUGCAUAGCCGACCUGAGAGGGUGAUCGGCCACACUGGAACUGAGACACGGUCCAGACUCCUACGGGAGGCAGCAGUAGGGAAUCUUCCGCAAUGGGCGAAAGCCUGACGGAGCAACGCCGCGUGAGUGAUGAAGGUCUUCGGAUCGUAAAACUCUGUUAUUAGGGAAGAACAUAUGUGUAAGUAACUGUGCACAUCUUGACGGUACCUAAUCAGAAAGCCACGGCUAACUACGUG